UACGCCCGAAGGGAACCUGGAUUAAUACCGGAUGAGACGGGACCCGCGAAGGCGGGACCCGGGAAAGGCGCUGCGGCGCCGCCGGGGGAUGAGUCUGCGUCCCAUUAGCUAGACGGCGGGGUAACGGCCCACCGUGGCGACGAUGGGUAGCCGGCCUGAGAGGGUGGACGGCCACAUUGGAACUGAGACACGGUCCAGACUCCUACGGGAGGCAGCAGCUAAGAAUCUUCCGCAAUGGGCGAAAGCCUGACGGAGCGAACCGCCGCGUGAACGAAGAAGGCCGUGAGGUUGUAAAGUUCUUUUCGGGAGGGGGAACAACCGUGGCAGGGAAUGGCCGCGGGAUGACGUGAAUCCCGGAAUAAGCCCCGGCUAACUACGUGCCAGCCGCCGC
rnacentral:rRNA from 1 species